CCCCGCACAAGCGGUGGAGCAUGUGGUUUAAUUCGAUGAUACGCGAGGAACCUUACCUGGGCUCAAAUGUAUGUUGACGUAUUCUGAAAGGGAUACUUCUUCGGACAAUAUACAAGGUGCUGCAUGGUUGUCGUCAGCUCGUGCCGUGAGGUGUCGGGUUAAGUCCCAUAACGAGCGCAACCCCUAUCAUUAGUUGCCAUCAGGUCAAGCUGGGGACUCUAAUGAAACUGCCUACGCAAGUAGUGAGGAAGGUGGGGAUGACGUCAAAUCAGCACGGCCCUUACGUCCAGGGCUACACACGUGCUACAAUGGCCGGUACAAAGGGCAGCUACCUGGUGACAGGAUGCUAAUCUCGAAAACCGCUCUCAGUUCGGAUCGGAGUCUGCAACUCGACUCCGUGAAGCUGGAUUCGCUAGUAAUCGCGCAUCAGCCACGGCGCGGUGAAUACGUUCCCGGGCCUU
rnacentral:rRNA from 1 species